UCCUAGUUAACCUAGGCAGUCUCAAUAGAGUUCCCACCAAAUGUGUUGGCAACUAUUGAUAAGGGUUGCGCUCGUUGCGGGACUUAACCCAACACCUCACGGCACGAGCUGACGACAGCCAUGCAGCACCUAUACAGCAGUUCUUGCGAAAAGCCCUCUUUGAAGGGUUGUCCACUGUACUUCGAGCCUGGGUAAGGUUCUGCGCGUUGCAUCGAAUUAAACCACAUGCUCCACUGCUUGUGCGGGCCCCCGUCAAUUCUUUUGAGUUUCACCCUUGCGAGCGUACUCCUCAGGCGGUAUACUUAUCGCGUUAGCUACGACACAGUCGGGGUUGAGUCCAACUACAUCAAGUAUACAUCGUUUACGGCAAGGACUAC
rnacentral:misc_RNA from 1 species